rnacentral:rRNA from 1 species
UAGAAGUGGGGUUCGUUAGCUGACCGGGGGGGCGUUCAUUACCGAGUUUACAACUCCCAAACCCCUGUGAACAUACCUAUACGUUGCCUCGGCGGAUCAGCCCGCGCCCUGUAAAACGGGACGGCCCGCCCGAGGACCCUAAACUCUGUUUUUAGUGGAACUUCUGAGUAAAACAAACAAAUAAAUCAAAACUUUCAACAACGGAUCUCUUGGUUCUGGCAUCGAUGAAGAACGCAGCAAAAUGCGAUAAGUAAUGUGAAUUGCAGAAUUCAGUGAAUCAUCGAAUCUUUGAACGCACAUUGCGCCCGCCAGUAUUCUGGCGGGCAUGCCUGUUCGAGCGUCAUUUCAACCCUCAAGCUCAGCUUGGUGUUGGGACUCGCGGUAACCCGCGUUCCCCAAAUCGAUUGGCGGUCACGUCGAGCUUCCAUAGCGUAGUAAUCAUACACCUCGUUACUGGUAAUCGUCGCGGCCACGCCGUUAAACCCCAACUUCUGAAUGUUGACCUCGGAUCAGGUAGGAAUACCCGCUGAACUUAAGCAUAUCAAUAAGCCGGAGGAA